rnacentral:rRNA from 1 species
AACGAACGCUGGCGGCAGGCCUAACACAUGCAAGUCGAGCGAGAUCUUCGGGUCUAGCGGCGGACGGGUGAGUAACGCGUGGGAAUAUGCCCUUCUCUGCGGAAUAGCCUCGGGAAACUGAGCGUAAUACCGCAUACGCCCUUUGGGGGAAAGAUUUAUCGGAGAAGGAUUAGCCCGCGUUGGAUUAGGUAGUUGGUGGGGUAACGGCCUACCAAGCCGACGAUCCAUAGCUGGUUUGAGAGGAUGAUCAGCCACACUGGGACUGAGACACGGCCCAGACUCCUACGGGAGGCAGCAAUGGGGAAUCUUAGACAAUGGGGGCAACCCUGAUCUAGCCAUGCCGCGUGAGUGAUGAAGGCCUUAGGGUUGUAAAGCUCUUUCAGCUGGGAAGAUAAUGACGGUACCAGCAGAAGAAGCCCCGGCUAACUCCGUG